rnacentral:rRNA from 1 species
ACGGCUCAGUAACACGUGGCUAACCUGCCCUUGGGACGGGGACAACCCCGGGAAACUGGGGUUAAUCCCAGAUAGGUGAGAACUCCUGGAAUGGAUUUUCAUCGAAAAGGUGUUGAAGCAUGCUUUCAACGGCGUCCGAGGAUGGGACCGCGGCCGAUCAGGUUGUUGGUGAGGUAACGGCUCACCAAGCCUUUAACCGGUACGGGCCGUGAGAGCGGGAGCCCGGAGAUGGAAUCUGAGACAAAAUUCCAGGCCCUACGGGGCGCAGCAGUCGCGAAAACUCCGCAAUACGCGAAAGCGUGACGGGGCCAACCCGAGUGCCGUCCGCUGAGGAUGGCUUUUCCCCAGUGUAAUGAGCUGGAGGCAAUAAAAGGAGGGCAAGGAUGGUGUCAGCCGCCGCGGUAAAACCAACUCCUUGAGUGGUGAGGAUUAUUAUUGGGCUUAAAGCGUUCGUAGCUGGCCUGACUAGUCCCGCGUUAAAUCCAACGACCUAAUCGUUGGGCUGCGGGGGACACGGUCAGGCUUGGGGGCGGGAGAGGUUAGCGGUAUUCCCGGGGUAGGGGUAAAAUCUUAUAAUCCCGGGAGGACCACCAGUGGCGAAGGCUGCUAACCAGAACGCGCCCGACGGUGAGGGACGAAAGCUGGGGGAGCGAACCGGAUUAGAUACCCGGGUAGUCCCAGCCGUAAACGAUGCAGGCUAGCUGUUGGGAUGGCCACGAGCCAUUUCAGUGGCGCAGGGAAGCCGUUAAGCCUGCCGCCUGGGAAGUAAGAUCGCAAGAUUGAAACUUAAAGGAAUUGGCGGGGGA